UACGGAGGAUGCAAGCGUUAUCCGGAAUGAUUGGGCGUAAAGCGUCCGCAGGUGGCUAUGUAAGUCUGCUGUUAAAGAGCAAAGCUUAACUUUGUAAAAGCAGUGGAAACUACAUAGCUAGAGUGCGUUCGGGGCAGAGGGAAUUCCUGGUGUAGCGGUGAAAUGCGUAGAGAUCGGGAAGAACACCGGUGGCGAAGGCGCUCUGCUAGGCCGCAACUGACACUGAGGGACGAAAGCUAGGGGAGCGAAUGGG
rnacentral:rRNA from 1 species